UUGACCUCGGAUCCCGCAGUAGGUGAA
rnacentral:rRNA from 1 species